rnacentral:rRNA from 1 species
UACGGAGGGAGCUAGCGUUGUUCGGAAUUACUGGGCGUAAAGCGCGUGUAGGCGGCCCGGUAAGUCCGCUGUGAAAGUCGGGGGCUCAACCCUCGAAUGCCGGUGGAUACUGUCGGGCUAGAGUGCGGAAGAGGCGAGUGGAAUUCCUGGUGUAGCGGUGAAAUGCGCAGAUAUCAGGAGGAACACCAAUUGCGAAGGCAGCUCGCUGGGACGUUACUGACGCUGAGACGCGAAAGCGUGGGGAGCAAACAGG